rnacentral:rRNA from 1 species
CUUCUCUUUGAGAGCGGCGGACGGGUGAGUAAUGCCUAGGAAUCUGCCUGGUAGUGGGGGAUAACGUUCGGAAACGGACGCUAAUACCGCAUACGUCCUACGGGAGAAAGCAGGGGACCUUCGGGCCUUGCGCUAUCAGAUGAGCCUAGGUCGGAUUAGCUAGUUGGUGGGGUAAUGGCUCACCAAGGCGACGAUCCGUAACUGGUCUGAGAGGGUGAUCAGUCACACUGGAACUGAGACACGGUCCAGACUCCUACGGGAGGCAGCAGUGGGGAAUAUUGGACAAUGGGCGAAAGCCUGAUCCAGCCAUGCCGCGUGUGUGAAGAAGGUCUUCGGAUUGUAAAGCACUUUAAGUUGGGAGGAAGGGUUGUAGAUUAAUACUCUGCAAUUUUGACGUUACCGACAGAAUAAGCACCGGCUAACUCUGUGCCAGCAGCCGCGGUAAUACAGAGGGUGCAAGCGUUAAUCGGAAUUACUGGGCGUAAAGCGCGCGUAGUGGUUUGUUAAGUUGGAUGUGAAAUCCCCGGGCUCAACCUGGGAACUGCAUUCAAACUGACUGACUAGAGUAUGGUA